AUACCAUAAUAGUGCACUCUUGAAGCCAAUUCAGAUCUCAGCCAUCAUGAUAUAGGUGUCAAUGGCAAAUAAUCAUUUUCUUCUUGCAAGCAUCAAUGGCAAGAAUGGCAUAUUAUGCAGAGAAAGAGGAUGAGAAGAAACUUGUGCUUCUCAUUUAAUCUUUGUCUAACUCUCUUUAUGUGCGAUUGUGUACUUGUUGGGUCCUUUUUCUGUGCACUUGCACCUGCAGAAGUAUUCUGUUGUGCACUUGUAAAAUUAUUUUGAUGUCACUUGUCAGGCCUUGAACCUUAAUGUGUGGAGGAGUCGGUGAAUGAUGUAUUGUAUUUCAUGUGUUGUGGUACUGAAAUGAAAUAUACAGUUUAUCUGCAA